rfam:Myotis brandtii contig295449, whole genome shotgun sequence.
UAACUGGUUGCUCAGUGGUUAGAGCAUUGGCCGGUGUGCCAAAGGGUUGCAGGUUCAAUUCCUGGUCAAGGUCA